rnacentral:misc_RNA from 1 species
GUUGCUGGCUCUGUGUCUAGGAGUGCACUAAAAGUGUAUAUAUAUGGGAAAACAUUUUUUAUUUGUCUACCAUCUAAAGCAUUUGUAAUGUUGUGAAUUCUUUUCUCCUUUCCAUGCAUACUUGUGUGUAGUUGGUGCAAUGAAAUUCUCUUAUACUUGGAUGUGAUUGAAUAACUAAUUACUAAGAAUAAAUUGCGGCAGUUUGUUGCUUUUAUCGUUGAGGAGUCUAUUGUAACAAAAUGGGUCGUGGCAUCUUGCUGAUUGAGAUGUAUGCUGUGAAUCUUUCUAUAUAUUCAGCUAGGCAUUGAUUAUUGUCUUUUGGUGGAAGUCUAGUUGUGAGAUAAAAAAAUGUCAAAUGGUAAAGUUCAGGUUAUAGUACUGCAGCUAUUGGAGCUAGGGUGGAGACAGAUGCAAUUGGUGACCUACAUUUUGCUUGGUCUGGGAUCAUUCUUUUUGUUGCCUGUUGCAUGUAUGUUUAAACCUAUGGCCUCAAAUAAUACCCAAAUAUUCAUAAAAAGAGUUGCUAUGUGAUGUCAAAAGUCCAUAGGACUGAACUCUACCAAAAGUUGCUGAUGGCUGAUGACCUUCCAAUGUGAAGUGGUGGUUUGCUUCAACUUUUUUUGUGGUGUAAUGUUGCAAGCCAAAGAGAGUUUAUUCUUCAUCCUUAAAUUGGCUAGUUAGUAGUUUGUGAGGCAUUGAAUCCCUUUUAUAAUUUAGGGGCAUGCUUUUAGCAUAUGCCAGCUAGUAAUGUGCCAUGUGGACUAGGGAUAGUUAAGAUUAGGGGUGUGCGGCUCCGGUUUAGUUUGGGGUCUGUCUAGGAAUCAGAAUCGAACCAAAAUUUCAAUACGUUUCUGGUUCAGUUCUUUGUUAUUUCGGUUCCAAUUUGGUGCGGUUCUUGAUUCUUUAGUACCGAUUUGGUUCGAUACGGUUUCAAUUCGGUUAUUGGUUCUUGAAAAUAUUAAUACAUAAUAUAUCAUAU